UACGAGGGGGGCGAGCGUUGUUCGGAACUAUUGGGCGUAAAGGGUGCGUAGGCGGUUUGGUAAGUCUCGUGUGAAAUCCCCGGGCUCAACUCGGAGCCUGCACGAGAAACUGCCGGGCUUGAGUGUGGGAGAGGUGAGUGGAAUUCCUGGUGUAGCGGUGAAAUGCGUAGAUAUCAGGAGGAACACCUGUGGCGAAAGCGGCUCACUGGACCAUAACUGACGCUGAUGCACGAAAGCUAGGGGAGCAAACAGG
rnacentral:rRNA from 1 species